rnacentral:lncRNA from 1 species
UUUCAACUAACGCUCAUUCAGCUGUCCAAAAUUAGAGUGAAUGGCUGAAAUGAGGCCCAACCGCUACUCCUUCCAGCGACAAGCCAAAUUUUUUUUGUUGUCUACUACUCCUUUUAGCGGCCAAUUAAAACGACCAUAUUUUGACUGACCGAUAGAGGAAGUAGCGGCCAACAAAAAAAUUUGGCUUAAUUACUAAUUAUCGUCGUACAUACUACUUAUUAAUCAGUAAAAUAAAAUAA